rnacentral:rRNA from 1 species
AUUGAACGCUGGCGGCAGGCCUAACACAUGCAAGUCGAGCGAGCGGCGGACGGGUGAGUAAUGUAUGGGGACUGCCCGAUAGAGGGGGAUAACUACUGGAAAAGGUGGCUAAUACCGCAUACUAUCGGAUAACCCAUAUGGGAUUAGAUAGUAGGUGGGGUAACGGCUCACCUAGGCGACGAUCUCUAGCUGGUCUGAGAGGAUGAUCAGCCGCACGUGGACUGCGGCACGGCCCAGACUCCUACGGAGGCAGCAGUGGGGAAUAUUGCACAAUGGGCGCAAGCCGAAUGCAGCCAAGCCGCGUGUAGGAAGAAGGCCUUAGGUUUUUAAAGGACUUUCAGCUGGGAGGCGUUACCCGCAGAAGAAGCACCGGCUAACUCCGUGCCAGCAGCCGCGGUAAUUC